AGAAGCAUGUCUGAUAAAAGAGUUACUUUGAUAGAGUAAACCAUAGGGGUUAAAACCCCCUUGCUUCUA
rnacentral:tRNA from 1 species